ACAUAAAACACAGCGUUUAAUUUAAUUUUCUUAACCCUCAUUACUUAGCGAGAUCAUAAAUCCUUACCUUAAAUCAGGAAUCGUUUAUGGCAGGUACUACAUUCAUCUACUCCAAAUCCGUUGUGCAUCUUCCUUCACGGUGUACAUACUUGGCUUUGGGUUAACAUUGAAUUAACACUCAGAAAAUGAGGAAGAAGAAGAGCUACAACACAUGCCAUUGCCAAAACGAAGAUGGAACGAUGUGAGCGAUGCGAGUUACAGAGCUAACGAGAUUACAACUAUUGUGAAUGAGAAAGGAAGUUAACGAAGUCUUGCGACAGAGCCUGUCUUCUCUUCACCGACGCUGGUGAAGCCGAACAAGAAAAAGAGAGGCGGAGAAGAAGAGAUGCUGAGAAGGAGAGAAGACAGACUAGGUUUUAGUUUUAUGUUUACUUUUUAUUUUUUUUCUUAAAAAAAUUGGUUUAGUUUGGUUUACUUUGAUGUACCGGUCUUAAAUUGGUAUCCAAUGUUGAUAUAUAACUUUUCAUAAAUUUUAUUUUUAUCAGUAAUAGGGUAAAUAAUAACUAACAAAAUAUUACUCCAUCUGUUUCAUUUUAAUUGUCGUUUUAGACUUCGACACACAAAUUAAAAAAAAACAUUUAAUUUUAUAUAUUUACUAGAUAAAAACAUCACUACCAAUAAAUCUAACCACAUUUUAACCAAUAAAAAAUGGAUUAUAAUAUAAAAUUAAUAAAUUUUGCAUUGAAACUAUAAAAUGACACUUAUUUUGAAACAAAAAUUACUCUAUAAUGACAUUUAAAUUGAAACGGAGGGAGUAUUAAAUAAAAUUUAAAUAUCAAAAUUGGUUACCAAUUUAAAACAGCAAAUUGUAAAUAACAUGUUUAGUUGUUAUAUUAUAUAACUCAAAUAUACAUAUGUAUAAAAAAUUUAGGCUUGCUAAAUAAAAUUUGCAAAAAUCUGUACUUAUUUUUGAAUAUAUUUUUUUUCGUAAUUUGCUUUCACUAUUUUUUAUGUUUCUAUUUAAAUAAUGUAUUUAAAAAAAAAUAUCGUUGUAAAAUUUGAGCUUUAUAUUCAUCUAUAAAUCAUGAUAUUUAUAAUUUAAUUUCGCAAAACUCACAAUAAACUUAGAACUCUAAUAUUUUACACUUUAAUAUUUAUUUUACCAAAAAAUGAAAAAGCACAAUAAAAAAAAACACAAUUUCAUAAUUUAUAAAUGAACCCUAAACACAUAGAACAAAACACAAAUAUGCCAAAACUCAAUAACAUAUGAAUCUAUAACAAGAACAUAAAAAAAUUAUAUUUAUAAAAUUAUUUAAAAGUAAAAACAUAUAAUUAUGAAGAACAAACACCCGCGCGGACGCGCGGGUCAAAU